rnacentral:rRNA from 1 species
AGGACGAACGCUGGCGGCGUGCCUAAUACAUGCAAGUCGAACGGUCUUUCUAUGGAAGCUUGCUUCCACUGAGAAGAUAGUGGCGGACGGGUGAGUAACACGUGGGUAACCUGCCCAUAAGAGGGGGAUAACAUCCGGAAACGGGUGCUAAUACCGCAUAGUUUUCUUGAUCGCAUGAUUGAGAAAGGAAAGACGGCCUUUGUGCUGUCGCUUAUGGAUGGACCCGCGGCGUAUUAGUUAGUUGGUGAGGUAAUGGCUCACCAAGACGAUGAUACGUAGCCGACCUGAGAGGGUGAUCGGCCACAUUGGGACUGAGACACGGCCCAAACUCCUACGGGAGGCAGCAGUAGGGAAUCUUCCGCAAUGGACGAAAGUCUGACGGAGCAACGCCGCGUGAGUGAAGAAAGGUUUUCGGAUCGUAAAACUCUGUUGUCAGAGAAGAACAAGUUGGAGAGUAACUGCUCCAGCCUUGACGGUAUCUGACCAGAAAGCCACGGCUAACUACGUGCCAGCCGCCGC